rnacentral:rRNA from 2 species
GGUUUACCCAUUGGUCAGGCUUAAUUGUCUGUACUGGUGAGAUGAAUCUCUACCUUCUGAGGAACUUUCAUGCCAUUUAUUUGGUGUGAUGGGAAAUCAGGACUGUUACUUUGAAAAAAUUAGAGUGUUUAAAGCAGGCUAACGUCUGAAUACAUUAGCAUGGAAUAAUGAAAUAGGACGGACUGAUUCUAUUUCGUUGGUUUCUAGGAUCACCGUAAUGAUUAAUAGGGAUAGUUGGG